UCUGCCACUCAAAGAAAUUUCUCUUUCUGACAGGUUUUUGAGACUCUCUGUCAAUGGGACUCCCGUAUCUGUUGGCACUUCUUCCGUCUGUGUGUCGAUUGCUGUUUUUACACUAGGAUCAGAGCUUUGGGACCGAAGAUAGGACAGCAGGGGUAACUGAAACGAGAGCUGCAUUUCAUCCUUUUUCCAGACUCUUACACACAUGGUGUUGAGAUCUUCAUUGGGGAUUAAAGGAAUUUUGUUUCUGGAAGCAAAAUCUGUUGAAGCAAGGAAAACUGAGUUCACUAGAACAAAUUCUGAUUGUGAGGCCGGUGUCCGUUUGGAAGAGGAGUUUGAAAACAUUUCUGACUGGCUGAUAACCAUGUGCUGAUGCCUGGAAGUAUGGAUUUGUAGGACUCCAACAUGAGGAGUGAAUUCUCUCUGCAUCCACCACCCUACAGGUUUAUGUUUACCAAAUCUGCGAUUGCAUAACACUGGGGAAAGAUCACAUUCCCAGUCAUUGCUGUACAGCAACAGUUCAUCUUGCCGUUAUAGGUUCA